GUGGUUCACCCAUCGAUGUCCGCCAGCACACUGGCCGCACUCCUCACACUCCUCCUUUAUUUAUCAGUGCACGAUUACUCGUACGAUGCAUCAUACUUACAUUUCUUAGAUCGAGUAGAGACAGGUGUUGUAAUUACACAUCGGAUGGAUCAUUCAAAAAAGGGAAUGAAACGAAAAGAGUUUCUUCUUCGUCGAAUGGACAUGGAUCUUAAUUAAAAUGUGAAACGAGAAAAAAGAAAAAGAAAAAUAUUUGUCUCCGCGUUGCUGCAUGGAUUGUACAGAUCUUCGUGGUGAUAAAGUACGGUGCAUCGAUGAAACGUAUAAACGGAAUUUUUAAGUUACAGGGGAUUAAUCACCAGGGAUAAAUUUAGAGAGAAACCAGGU
rnacentral:lncRNA from 1 species